AUUGAACGCUAGCGGGAUGCUUUACACAUGCAAGUCGAACGAGUGGCGCACGGGAGAGUAAUAUAUCGGAACGUGCCCAGUAGCGGGGGAUAACUACGCGAAAGAGUGGCUAAAACCGCAUACUAUGGGAGCGGCCGAUAUCGGAUUAGCUAGUUGGUGGGGUAAAGGCUCACAAAGGCAACGAUCCGUAGCUGGUUUGAGAGGACGACCAGCCCCACGGGGACUGUGACACGGCCCAGACUCCUACGGGAGGCAGCAGUGGGGAAUUUUGGACAAUGGGGGAAACCCUGAUCCAGCCAUCCCGCGUGUAUGAGAAGGCCUUCGGGUUGUAAAGUACUUUUGGCUGAGAAGCGGUAUCUGCAGAAGAAGCACCGGCUAACUACGUGCCAGCAGCCGCGGUAAUUC
rnacentral:rRNA from 1 species